UACAACUGUCAAAGAUCUGUCCGAUACGGAUGAAAACCAAAAUUGUGUAAUGUAGCCGGCUAACCGAAGUUGAAAGUCCUGAGGUGAUAAGAUAUUAAAACAGAUUACUGUGGCCAUAUAAAUAACGACAGUCGUGGAUAUUUUAGAAGCAUCAGUUGUCUUUUUCGUCUGUUUAUUUUUCAUUUAUAAAGUAGUGUACGCUAUGGAGGUAAUUGUUAAGCUAAAUUCGCAAACAGCCGGCCGCGAUAAACUUGUUAGGUUACUGCAGUAUACGAGCAAAUUCGCUUGGCAUUAUAUGCAGGAAAAGCAGCAUAGCAAACAGUCAGUAGAUCGAUUAAAGGAUCUGGAAUACACAUUUAGUUCUUUCAGAAAAUUGUUGCGUUUGGGCAGGUGUUUGGAUGUGCUUUACGGGGCUUUGUCAUCUGUGCAAUAUCCUGAUUUGACCCUGAGGAUAACUUGUACACUGUCCAGAAUUGCUAAUGCCUUGUACUUGUUGGCUGACCAUAUUCUUUGGUUUGGCAGAACAGGCGUGUUAAAUAUCAACAGUGCCAAAUGGAAUCAAGUUGCAAAUAAGUAUUGGCUGUACUCUAUUGUCAUGAAUUUAGUGCGGGAUGUUUAUGAGAUACUGCAGAUUGUGAAAUAUGAGACUCAUAACUGUAUAGGACUUAAACGCAUGGGUAGCCCUGAUUACUACAGAAAGCCUGCAACAGAUAAACUAUCUGUAAUUAAGUUUGUGCAAGAACACAAGGAUGUUGUUAUUGACACAGUGAAAAAUGGUUGUGACUUCUUUAUUCCAAUGUCUGCUCUGGGCUAUAUCAGAUUAAAUCCUGGUACAGUUGGUGUACUUGGUGUGAUUUCUUCAGUGGCAGCUAUCAUAAGUCUCGUCGAUCCUUUCGCCCGGCUUUCACCAGCAUAACUCAGUACGGGUGGAUUCCACAGAAGUGUGGUAUUACAGAAGAUACUCGAGAUUUUAAGUAAAAGGGGCUUCUAACAAGAGUCCUGAUGCUAACAGUUACCAGGCUGUAGGUAACACGCACCUAGGUAUUGCUGUUUGAAGCAGUCAGUGGCAGUUGUGGAGAAGGUGUGAUGGUAUACCUCAAACAACAGCAGCAUGCUGGCAGUAUAUAACAACUUGGAACACAGAAUGGUUGAGAUGCUGCCCACAGGAAAG